UGUAAGCGUAUACCAAAGUUGUUGCAGUUAAAACGCUCGUAGUCGGAAUUUGGCAGUUCCGGAUGUGUGCACGUCGUGUGCGCACUUCGCGGGGAUUGCUUUUGUGGUCUUGCGUAGGAUGAGGCACUUUUAUUAGUGAACGUCCUCACGCAACCACUUUUUACUGUGAGAAAAUCAGAGUGCUCAAAGCAGGCAUUUGCCGUGAAUGUAUUAGCAUGGAAUAAUAGAAUAGGACUUGGUUCUAUUUUGUUGGUUUGUUGGGACUGAGUAAUGAUUAAGAGGGACAGUUGGGGGAAUUUGUAUUUCGGUGCUAGAGGUGAAAUUCUUAGAUUACCGAAAGACAAACUGCUGCGAAAGCGUCUGCCAAGGAUGUUUUCAUUGA
rnacentral:rRNA from 1 species